UACAGAGAUCCCAAGCGUUGUUCGGAUUCACUGGGCGUAAAGGGUGCGUAGGUGGCCAGGUAAGUUUGGUGUGAAAGCUCGGAGCUUAACUCCGAAAAGUCAUUGAAUACUAUCUGGCUGGAGGGUCGGAGGGGAGACUGGAAUUCUCGGUGUAGCAGUGAAAUGCGUAGAUAUCAAGAGGAACACCAGUGGCGAAGGCGAGUCCCUGGACAACACCUGACACUGAGGCACGAAAGCUAGGGGAGCAAACAGG
rnacentral:rRNA from 1 species